rnacentral:rRNA from 1 species
CUGAGAGGGUGAUCGGCCACACUGGAACUGAGACACGGUCCAGACUCCUACGGGAGGCAGCAGUAGGGAAUCUUCCGCAAUGGGCGAAAGCCUGACGGAGCAACGCCGCGUGAGUGAUGAAGGUCUUAGGAUCGUAAAACUCUGUUGUUAGGGAAGAACAAAUUUGUUAGUAACUGAACAAGUCUUGACGGUACCUAACCAGAAAGCCACGGCUAACUACGUGCCAGCAGCCGCGGUAAUACGUAGGUGGCAAGCGUUAUCCGGAAUUAUUGGGCGUAAAGCGCGCGUAGGCGGUUUCUUAAGUCUGAUGUGAAAGCCCACGGCUCAACCGUGGAGGGUCAUUGGAAACUGGGGGACUUGAGUGCAGAAGAGGAGAGUGGAAUUCCAUGUGUAGCGGUGAAAUGCGCAGAGAUAUGGAGGAACACCAGUGGCGAAGGCGGCUCUCUGGUCUGCAACUGACGCUGAUGUGCGAAAGCGUGGGGAUCAAACAGGAUUAGAUACCCUGGUAGUCCACGCCGUAAACGAUGAGUGCUAAGUGUUAGGGGGUUUCCGCCCCUUAGUGCUGCAGCAAACGCAUAA